GGCGCUAUCGUCUAGUCUGGCCUAGGACAUAAGCUUCUCAAGCUUAAGACUCGGGUUCGAAUCCCGAUAGCGCUACCA
rnacentral:tRNA from 1 species